UCAAGUUUAUCUGUGUAUCAGGCACUUCUGACUACAUAGAAUGCAGCUCAAUGCUUCAUGCCUGUGGCAACUGAUGCCAAUUUUUGGAUUGGUAGUAAGCAGGAGUAGGCAGGUGGAGGGUCAUUUAACCGACUUCCAAUUGUUUUAUGAUUCUUUUUUGCAAAGGACCUGAUUCCCUCAGACUCAGCUGAAAGCAGAAAGAACAGUAACGAAGGGACAGAAUCAGAGAAAUCUUGACAUAUUAAGUUUGCCUGGAUGGGAUUUCAGAAGAUUCAGAAGAUUCAGAAGAUUUCAGAAGAUUUCAGAAGAUUCAUUUUUGAUAUGAAGGCCCGGAGGAGUGGUGGUUGAACCUGUAGGAAGGUGGCGUUAUGUGCAAGGCAGCAGAGGCCACCUACUCUUCCUCCAGAUUCAUUUGAUCCCUUUAAAUGGAGGAUAUCCUAACUAAACUGGACCUGUGAUUGCAGGAAAGCGGCCACAAGUUUACCCCUAUCUGGCCCAAUUAUGAACUUGAUGUAACAAUAAAUAUCAAAGUUCCUA